rnacentral:rRNA from 1 species
UGGGGAAUUUUGGACAAUGGACGCAAGUCUGAUCCAGCCAUGCCGCGUGCGGGAAGAAGGCCUUCGGGUUGUAAACCGCUUUUGUCAGGGAAGAAAUCUUCUGGGUUAAUACCUCGGGAGGAUGACGGUACCUGAAGAAUAAGCACCGGCUAACUACGUGCCAGCAGCCGCGGUAAUACGUAGGGUGCAAGCGUUAAUCGGAAUUACUGGGCGUAAAGCGUGCGCAGGCGGUUAUGCAAGACAGGUGUGAAAUCCCCGAGCUCAACUUGGGAACUGCACUUGUGACUGCAUAGCUAGAGUACGGUAGAGGGGAGUGGAAUUCCGCGUGUAGCAGUGAAAUGCGUAGAUAUGCGGAGGAACACCGAUGGCGAAGGCAGCUCCCUGGACCUGUACUGACGCUCAUGCACGAAAGCGUGGGGAGCAAACAGG